UCAGGGCCAAUGAUCUGGGCAGAGAACGAGGGGAGUUUCAGUUCUGACGUCUCUGGCGCCCGUUACAAAUACCAGCCUGGCGUUCUCCUCCCCACGUGGAGCGAGCUCCCCGGCGGGUGUGUCACGCCACUUGGGACGGCCAGCUCUGCUCCGGGAGGUUUAGCAUUGCGAUGGAAUCAGGCCCUCCAAGGCUGCUACUCCCUGCCCGCACCCUCUCAGGCUCUGGUCUCUAGGUUGUCUCUGACUGAGGGACACAAGGAGAUACUUGGAUAUCAUCAAUAAUAAUUUUCUUACCUUUGUCAACCGUGAACACAGAUCUUAUGGGUGUUUCUCCAGUUUACCUGAAAGUUAUUCACGUGGCUCUUCUCUGAAUCUCUCCAGUUCACCAACAUCCUUCUUGUAUUGUGGACACCAGAACUGGACACGGGAGUCCAGCAGCGGUCAGACCAGUGCCAAACACAGAGACUUUGAUCCUAAAGACCUCAUGCAGAGAAGAGCCCAUCCAAGGCGCUGGAUGAACAUGUAAAGAGACGGUGUUACUUCAAAGAAAAUGGCAAAGACAGGCACCUCUCUGUUAGAGAUGUCUUGCAUUGCCUGGAGCGCAUGAGCGUAAUGGUGAAACAAGGUGAAAGACUUUUCCUGUGUCUCAAGAUGAGCUCUGCCUUCCAUCCUCAAGGAAAUCCUAAUACUCAUAGAAGGAGGACUUCAUGGAUUUAAAACCCUGGCGUUUCUCCACAGCGACGUGGGCUAGAAUCCAAAUUGGGUCAAAAUGCCAAAAAACAUUCCCCGUAUUUGCCCGAGAUUCACCGUCUUCUGGCCUGACUUCUUAAAAUGGAGACACUCUGGAAAGAACACCGUUUGAAUCAGUCAUUCCUAACCCAUUUGGCAGCUCCAGGAAUCAAACUACAGUCCCUCGAGUUCAAUGAGAUUAACAUGCCAGCCCACUAAUUUUCCUCCAAAGAGCCGUGGAAUGAAUAUAAUACAGCACGACAAUGCAUCAGCACCGAUGUUACGACUGAAGUGGAUUAGCAGGGCUUUCAGAAACUACCUUGCUCAGUUCUAUCUGGGAUCAGCAGAAAUGAUUAAAACACUCAGAUUAAUCAUUUUUAUUAACUGGAGUGGAGGUGCGGGGUAUAGGGGAAGAAGUGUUUCAAACUUCAUUUUGCAAUGAGACAAAUGGGAGUUCUGCUGGCGGAAUUGUCCUUGGGGCAGCAUGAUGUCAUUCAGUUCACAAAAUAAAAUGCUAAAUGAAUGGCCACAAGCUGCAUGCACUUUAUCAUCACAUCACAUGCAAUAGGCCUCUUUGUUCCAAACCUUUUAGUGAUGUGGAGGUGACUGAUACGGCAGAUCAUUAUUUGGUGGGGCGAGGGGAGGGUUGUAUUUUGGGGGAAGUGAUCUCUCUUUUUUUUUUUUUUUUCUGGCCUCCCAGCUGGAAAAGGAUGCUGUUGGGUUCACUGAGCCUGAAGCAAUGACCAAGCAUGUGUGCGCUCCGGGGAUUCCACUCUGCCACCACGGGCCUCGCUCUGGUUAUGCUGCACUUCUGUUUCCUCUCUUUGGUGUCAGCAAAUCUGAUCCACACUCUGGUUAGCGCAGGUGAAAGGCACCAGAGGAACUGAAUUGGAGACCAUAUCCUGCAAAGGAUUGUGGGAUAGGGUGGUGGCGAGAACUUGUGCUGGGUGGGGAGUGCUGGGGCUGUUGUUUAGAGUGGUGGUGGCUGCUGGGUUAGGGGAUGCUGAUUGGGGGUGUGGGAUGGUCUUGUGGUUGAAGCCCUGUACUUGGGCUCAGGAAAUCUCAAUUCAGUUUUUAGCUGUGCCAUACAUUUCUUGGGUGACCUUGGGCAAAUCUCUUAGUCUCUCUGUGUCUCAGAUCUGUGACCAUCUGUACCCCCAUAUUUACCCUUUCACAAGACUAUGAUAAAUUUUGUACCAAGUGUGCCUUGUGAGGUAUCAUUUGAAAAAACACAUUUUACAGGGACAAUAAUGAUCAGCGAUUUAUAUGUGUGGCAACAUUGCAUGUAAAGUUAUAGGAUUCCUCUGUUUGGUAUUACUAGGCACUGUCCAAGUCUGGGGGGAGCAGCCACAAACAAGUUCCCCAGAGACAAAAGCCAACGCCUCAGCCACUUUUGGACAGGAAAGAUGAUGUGGGUGAAAAUCUACAUCUUGACAAAGAAAUAGUGGGGGGUUCCCAUCCACUCAGACUUUCUGUCUCCUGAACCUCAGCUGCAGAUGAUUCUCAAAGAAGCGAAAGAGCUAUAAGAAAGGGGAGCAGAUGCCCCAGAUUAUUCUUCCUUCCUGUGUACUCACUGCAUUGACAGCACUUGAAGAACCAAGGGACCAGCUUUGCAUCAGGGAUCCUGACUGAAAGAUUUGGCCAGUAAGAGAGCUGGCGGACCUGGUGAGAGAGAACUUUGCUUUGAAUUCACUCUAGGCAUUACGUGUGACUUACUUUCAUUUUCUUGUAACCAGUUCUGACUUUUAUGCCUCAUUACUUGUAAUCACUUCAAAUCUAUCCUUCUGUUGUUAAUAAACUUGUUUUAUCUAGA